UCAGCGCACAGUUAGUCUGAUACGACACACCCAGUAUUUGUCUUGUAGAAUCAUCAUGAUGAAGUACACAGUGAAAGUGUUUACUGGAGAAAUGCUGGUUGCCGGAACAUGAACAGUGUUUACGUUAAACUGGUCAGCACAAACGGAGAAAGUGAACGCACGUACAUCCCUAAAACCGCCAGCCAAGAUCGGUGAUUGAGCACAAUGUGUUCUGUCCCUUCUCCUGGCAUCUGGAGUUUGUGUACUGGAACAGAGCCAUACUGCCUGCUCGGCUACAUCAAAAAUGACUGGUUCUGCUCUAAAGUAGUGGUGACCACACCAGAAGGAGACACGGCCAACUUCCCCGUUACGCUGGAUCUCAGGCUAUGUGCCGCUGAUGAUCAGAGAGGGCACU